GACGAACGCUGGCGGCGUGCUUAACACAUGCAAGUCGAACGAUGAAGCCCUUCGGGGUGGAUUAGUGGCGAACGGGUGAGUAACACGUGGGCAAUCUGCCCUUCACUCUGGGACAAGCCCUGGAAACGGGGUCUAAUACCGGAUAACACUCUGUCCCGCAUGGGACGGGGUUGAAAGCUCCGGCGGUGAAGGAUGAGCCCGCGGCCUAUCAGCUUGUUGGUGGGGUGAUGGCCUACCAAGGCGACGACGGGUAGCCGGCCUGAGAGGGCGACCGGCCACACUGGGACUGAGACACGGCCCAGACUCCUACGGGAGGCAGCAGUGGGGAAUAUUGCACAAUGGGCGAAAGCCUGAUGCAGCGACGCCGCGUGAGGGAUGACGGCCUUCGGGUUGUAAACCUCUUUCAGCAGGGAAGAAGCGAGAGUGACGGUACCUGCAGAAGAAGCGCCGGCUAACUACGUGC
rnacentral:rRNA from 2 species